rnacentral:lncRNA from 1 species
GGCACCGUGAUUGAGCCCAAAUCUUCUGGUGGAGCAAAUCAAAAUUAAUUAAUCAGUUGGUGUCUAAAGUAAGUUUGGUAGAUUCGAUCAAGUAGUUUUUAAUUGGAAGCUACUCACCUAGAUGCAUCUACGAUGAGUUAAUGGUACAUCCUUCCUACUGAUCUCACUUACCUAGCUAACAUGAUAGAUUAUGUUUAAAUUAAAUCACUUGUUGAUUCAUGCUGACCCAUGCCAUCAAGGUUAAUCAGUGUGAUUGAUUUAGGUGU